rnacentral:rRNA from 1 species
CUAUGGUUAAGGAACUCGGCAAAAUGCCCCCGUAACUUCGGGAGAAGGGGGGCCGGAAUACCGUGAACACCCUUGCGGUGGGAGCGGGAUCCGGCCGCAGAAACCAGUGGGUAGCGACUGUUUACUAAAAACACAGGUCCGUGCGAAGUCGCAAGACGAUGUAUACGGACUGACGCCUGCCCGGUGCUGGAAGGUUAAGAGGACCCGUUAACCGUAAGGUGAAGCGGAGAAUUUAAGCCCCAGUAAACGGCGGUGGUAACUAUAACCAUCCUAAGGUAGCGAAAUUCCUUGUCGGGUAAGUUCCGACCUGCACGAAUGGCGUAACGACUUCCCAACUGUCUCAACCAUAGACUCGGCGAAAUUGCACUACGAGUAAAGAUGCUCGUUACGCGCGGCAGGACGAAAAGACCCCGGGACCUUCACUACAACUUGGUAUUGGUGUUCGGUACGGUUUGUGUAGGAUAGGUGGGAGACUGUGAAAUACAGACGCCAGUUUGUAUGGAGUCGUUGUUGAAAUACCACUCUGAUCGUAUUGGACACCUAACGUCGAACCCUUAUCGGGUUCACGGACAGUGCCUGGCGGGUAGUUUAACUGGGGCGGUUGCCUCCUAAAAUGUAACGGAGGCGCCCAAAGGUUCCCUCAACCUGGACGGCAAUCAGGUGACGAGUGUAAGUGCACAAGGGAGCUUGACUGCGAGACUUACAAGUCAAGCAGGGACGAAAGUCGGGACUAGUGAUCCGGCACCCCCGAGUGGAAGGGGUGUCGCUCAACGGAUAAAAGGUACCCCGGGGAUAACAGGCUGAUCUUCCCCAAGAGUCCAUAUCGACGGGAUGGUUUGGCACCUCGAUGUCGGCUCGUCGCAUCCUGGGGCUGGAGCAGGUCCCAAGGGUUGGGCUGUUCGCCCAUUAAAGCGGCACGCGAGCUGGGUUUAGAACGUCGUGAGACAGUUCGGUCUCUAUCCGCCGCGCGCGUCAGAAACUUGAGGAAACCUGUCCCUAGUAC